rnacentral:rRNA from 1 species
GAGUUUGAUCCUGGCUCAGGAUGAACGCUAGCGGCAGGCUUAACACAUGCAAGUCGAGGGGUAACAUAAGGUGCUUGCACUUUGAUGACGACCGGCGCACGGGUGCGUAACGCGUAUAGAAUCUACCUUAUACUGGGGAAUAGCCUUUGGAAACGAAGAUUAAUGCCCCAUAGUAUCAUUUUUCGGCAUCGUUUAAUGAUUAAAGUUUCGGCGGUAUAAGAUGACUAUGCGUUCUAUUAGCUAGUUGGUAAGGUAACGGCUUACCAAGGCUACGAUAGAUAGGGGUCCUGAGAGGGAGAUCCCCCACACUGGUACUGAGACACGGACCAGACUCCUACGGGAGGCAGCAGUGAGGAAUAUUGGACAAUGGAGGCAACUCUGAUCCAGCCAUGCCGCGUGUAGGAAGACUGCCCUAUGGGUUGUAAACUACUUUUAUAUGGGAAGAAUAAGGUCUACGUGUAGACUGAUGACGGUACCAUAAGAAUAAGCACCGGCUAACUCCGUGCCAGCAGCCGCGGUAAUACGGAGGGUGCAAGCGUUAUCCGGAAUCAUUGGGUUUAAAGGGUCCGUAGGCGGGCUUGUAAGUCAGUGGUGAAAGUCUGUGGCUUAACCAUAGAAUUGCCAUUGAUACUGCAGGUCUUGAAUUAUUGUGAAGUGGUUAGAAUAUGUAGUGUAGCGGUGAAAUGCUUAGAGAUUACAUAGAAUACCGAUUGCGAAGGCAGAUCACUAACAAUAUAUUGACGCUGAUGGACGAAAGCGUAGGUAGCGAACAGGAUUAGAUACCCUGGUAGUCUACGCCGUAAACGAUGGAUACUAGUUGUUUGGCUUUCGGGCUGAGUGACUAAGCGAAAGUGAUAAGUAUCCCACCUGGGGAGUACGUUCGCAAGAAUGAAACUCAAAGGAAUUGACGG